GAUGAACGCUGGCGGCGUGCCUAAUACAUGCAAGUCGAGCGAACGGACGAGAAGCUUGCUUCUCUGAUGUUAGCGGCGGACGGGUGAGUAACACGUGGAUAACCUACCUAUAAGACUGGGAUAACUUCGGGAAACCGGAGCUAAUACCGGAUGAUAUUUUGAACCGCAUGGUUCAAAAGUGAAAGACGGUCUUGCUGUCACUUAUAGAUGGAUCCGCGCUGCAUUAGCUAGUUGGUAAGGUAACGGCUUACCAAGGCAACGAUGCAUAACCGACCUGAGAGGGUGAUCGGCCACACGGGAACUGGGACACGGUCCAGGCUCCUACGGGAGGCAACAGUAGGGAAUCUGCCGCAAUGGUCGAAAGCCUGACGGAGCAACGCCGCGUGAGUGAUGGAGGGCUUGGGAGCGUAAAACUCUGUUAUUAGGGAAGAACAUAUGUGUAAGUAACUGUGCACAUCUUGACGGUACCUAAUCAGAAAGCCACGGCUAACUACGUG
rnacentral:rRNA from 1 species